rnacentral:rRNA from 1 species
GACGAACGCUGGCGGCGUGCUUAACACAUGCAAGUCGAACGAAGAGCGAUGGAAGCUUGCUUCUAUCAAUCUUAGAGGCGAACGGGUGAGUAACGCGUAAUCAACCUGCCCUUCAGAGGGGGACAACAGUUGGAAACGACUGCUAAUACCGCAUACGAUCUAACCUCGGCAUCGAGGAAAGAUGAAAGGUGGCCUCUAUG